GGGGCUGCUCCUAGUACGAGAGGACCGGAGUGGACGAACCUCUGGUGUUCCGGUUGUCACGCCAGUGGCAUUGCCGGGUAGCUAUGUUCGGAAGCGAUAACCGCUGAAAGCAUCUAAGCGGGAAGCGCGCCUCAAGAUGAGAUCUCCCGGGGCACAAGCCCCCUGAAGGAACCAUGUAGACUACGUGGUUGAUAGGUCAGGUGUGUAAGUACAGCAAUGUAUUGAGCUAACUGAUACUAAUGAUCCGUGCGGCUUGACCAU
rnacentral:rRNA from 1 species